CAUGCAAGUCGAACGGAGGCCCUAGCUUGCUAGGUGUCCUUAGUGGCGCACGGGUGAGUAACACGUGGGAACAUACCUUAUAGUACGGAAUAACUGCGGGAAACUGUAGCUAAUACCGUAUACUCCAGUAAUGGGAAAGAUUUAUCGCUAUAAGAUUGGCCCGCGCAAGAUUAGCUUGUUGGUGAGGUAAAAGCUCACCAAGGCUUCGAUCUUUAGCUGGUUUGAGAGGACGAUCAGCCACACUGGGACUGAGACACGGCCCAGACUCCUACGGGAGGCAGCAGUAGGGAAUAUUGGACAAUGGGGGCAACCCUGAUCCAGCAAUGCAGCGUGAGUGACGAAGGCCUUAGGGUUGUAAAACUCUUUCAUCGGUGAGGAUAAUGACAGUAGCCGAAGAAGAAGGACCGGCUAAUUCCGUGCCAGCAGCCGCGGUAAUACGGAAGGUCCUAGCGUUGUUCGGAAUUACUGGGCGUAAAGCGCAUGUAGGCGGAACAGAAAGUUAGAAGUGAAAUCCCUGGGCUCAACCUAGGAAUUGCUUUUAAAACUUCUGUUCUGGAAUUCAGGAGAGGAAAAUGGAAUUUCCAGUGUAGAGGUGAAAUU
rnacentral:rRNA from 1 species